rnacentral:rRNA from 1 species
GACGAACGCUGGCGGCGUGCUUAACACAUGCAAGUCGAACGGAAAGGCCCUGCUUUUGUGGGGUGCUCGAGUGGCGAACGGGUGAGUAACACGUGAGUAACCUGCCCUUGACUUUGGGAUAACUUCAGGAAACUGGGGCUAAUACCGGAUAGGAGCUCCUGCUGCAUGGUGGGGGUUGGAAAGUUUCGGCGGUCGGGGAUGGACUCGCGGCUUAUCAGCUUGUUGGUGGGGUAGUGGCUUACCAAGGCUUUGACGGGUAGCCGGCCUGAGAGGGUGACCGGCCCCAUGGGGAGGGGGAUAGGGCCCAAGCCCCUAGGGGGGGAAGCGGGGGGGAAUUUUGCAAAAGGGGGGGAGCCCUGAUGGAGAAACCCCGGGGGGGGGAGGGGGCCCUUGGGGUUGAAACCCCCUUUCCCCGGGAACAAAGGGGGGGGGAGGGAAAUGGUAAAAGAAGCACCGGCUAACCACGG